CCUUGUGACGCGCUCCUUGUCAAAACACAGGUCUUCCCGGCGGCAUCUGCGUGACUCCUGACGACAGGCGUGCAGCCUGCCGGGCGGCCGCAUUUGCAGAUUGAAUUACCGUCCUAUUCAGAUGACACAAAGCAGUUUCUGGCCGGCUAGGGCGGCCCAUGAAUAAGUAAACAGCCUUCCAGCUCCAUGCCGGCUCGGGGGCGCUGGCGGCGGCCGCAGGGGUGGGAAGCCGGUGCUCGCCGCGUAGUGGCCGGGCUGCAGGGUCUGGCCCCCGGGACCCCUGAUCCCCGAGUCUGCCUAGAAAUGGCCCGCCGCGCCUGAAGCCCGCAGGAGCCCACGCCGUGCUCGGCCAGCCCCAGCCUUUGGAAGACCCGCCAGGGACCUUCCCGGCUUUGCGUCCGGAGACCAGGGACCCCGCGGUGGGACUGCGUGGAAAACGGCCCGGAGGAUGUGGCCCCCGGAGAGCCUCACCUGAGACCUCAUCACGCCGGCCUUCCCGCAGGGGCCCGGCAGCAUGACAAGGUACCGACCCCCACGCAGACGGCGGGGCCUGGGGAGGGGCGAGGAGCCACCGGAUUCCCCCGGGGUCGGGGUGCCUGGACCCGGCCUCUGAAGCAUUUCCGUGCUGUCGGCCCACUCAGAGGUCUCGUAGGCGCCACCACCAGGCCACAGGGGACCUGCCGACGGCCACCGCCCCCGUGGACGGCGUGGCCGCUGCCCGCAGCUCCAGUCCAGACCCCGGGCUUCCCGGAUGCUGCCCCCUCCCCACCCGCAUCUGAGUCCUUGCCUCACUGUGUUUUCUGCAGCUCAUGACAGCAUCCCCGAAACUGAGUAAUUGACAGAGAAAAGGAAUUUGUUUCCUACGGUUCUGCAGGCUGAGCCGUCCCAGGUGGAGGGGCCGCACCUGAUGGGGACUCUGCAGGGUCCCAAGGUGGCACCGGGGGUCACCCCAUGAGGGGCUAAGGGUGCCCACAUGCUGGCUUGGGCCACUCGGCCUCUUCCCAUGAAGCUGCCCGGUCCCCGCCUGUGAUACCUGUUGACCCAGUAAUCCAGUGGGCAGAGCUGUCGUGAUCCAAUCUCCCCUUUUAUUUAUUUAUUUUUUUUGAGACAGAGUCUCACUC
rnacentral:lncRNA from 1 species